rnacentral:rRNA from 1 species
GUCUAUGGCCAUGCUGCUCUCAACAUGCCCGAUCUUGUCUGAUCUUGGAAGCUAAGCAGGAUCGGGCCUGGUUAGUACUUGGAUGGGAGACCACCUAGGAAAACCAGGUGCUGUAGGCU